rnacentral:rRNA from 1 species
UACGGAGGGGGCGAGCGUUGUUCGGAAUUACUGGGCGUAAAGCGCACGUAGGCGGCUUUGUAAGUUAGAGGUGAAAGCCCGGAGCUCAACUCCGGAAUUGCCUUUAAGACUGCAUCGCUUGAAUCCGGGAGAGGUGAGUGGAAUUCCGAGUGUAGAGGUGAAAUUCGUAGAUAUCUGGAGGAACACCGGUGGCGAAGGCGGCAUCCUGGACCAACACUGACGGCUGAGGAGCGAAAGUGUGGGGAGCGAACAGG